rnacentral:rRNA from 1 species
GAUGAACGCUGGCGGCGUGCCUAAUACAUGCAAGUCGGACGGAGCGCUUCGGCGCUCAGUGGCGAACGGGUGAGUAGCACAUGGGCAACCUGCCCUUCAGAGGGGGACAACAGCUGGAAACGGCUGCUAAUACCGCAUAAUGUUUCCGAUCCGCAUGGAUUGGAAACCAAAGCUUUAUGUGCUGAAAGAUGGCCUCGCGUCUGAUUAGAUAGUUGGUAGGGUAACGGCCUACCAAGUCAACGAUCAGUAGCCGGUCUGAGAGGAUGAACGGCCACAUUGGGACUGAGAUACGGCCCAG